AUGAUUGCUGGUGAAAACCGCAUCGAUUUUUGUCAUGCCAGUGUCUUAGACGUCAUUUCCUUGUUGAAGCCAUCAUCGUCACCUCGCUUCGGCUGCUCCGGAGCAAACCCUAGAUUUAGGUCUCCCGGACUUGAUGAUGAUGGCACCUUUGAUGUUGUUCUACCUCCCGAAGCAUUGUUUUGGAGCAGGUACUUGCUGGAGAGGCCAGGAGGUGGAGCGGUGUUGCAUCGACCAUAUCGACGGCGGCGGGUCUCGGUGAUGGGUGCGCACAGAAUGGUGGCAUUGUCUAGCGUCAUGGUGGCGUCAACAACAGUUGGGUCUGGCAAGGUCAAUCUGUUGAUCCCUCUGAAGAUGGGACGGCGGAAGAUGGCGGCGGCGGAUUCUAGAGUGUGCGCAUAUGGUGCAUGUUGA
rnacentral:rRNA from 1 species